rnacentral:rRNA from 1 species
UACGUAGGGUGCAAGCGUUAUCCGGAUUUAUUGGGCGUAAAGAGCGUGUAGGCGGCCAGGUAGGUCUGCUGUGAAAACUCGAGGCUCAACCUCGAGACGUCGGCGGAAACCAUCUGGCUAGAGUCCGGAAGAGGAGAGUGGAAUUCCUGGUGUAGCGGUGAAAUGCGCAGAUAUCAGGAAGAACACCCGUGGCGAAGGCGGCUCUCUGGGACGGUACUGACGCUGAGACGCGAAAGCGUGGGGAGCGAACAGG